ensembl:Mt_tRNA
GCUUAUGUAGUAUAAUUAUUACCAUGGUCUUGUAAACCAUAAAUGAAAGCUCCCUUCCAUAAGCA